rnacentral:lncRNA from 1 species
UAUACCUAUAUAUUUUUGUUACAAUUAGAACCGCAACGCGGUUGUUCUGCAUGUUACUUUUCAGAUACAUGUUUUAAAAAUAAUCUUGAAUAGUCACAUAUGGUUAUGAAAGAUGAAAACAUGAAAAAAAUGUGUAUUAUCGUGUCUUUUUCGUGGCAAAAAUAAUCACAUUUUGUGAUAAAAACAAGGGAAAUUUACUAAAAUGACACAAAUUAAUUGUAUUAUCACUAGAAUAAUUCAUAUUUUUUGAAAAUUAUUAGAAAAAUUUUCUGGUUGAAACUACGCUUUCGCAUAGUUAUAAUAAAAAAACAAUACCAAAAUGUCCUUGCCAUUUUUCAUUGGGCAAAUCUCCAAAAUAGCACAUUUCUAAGUUUAUAUCACAAAAAUAGCAUUCAAAAACUAAAAUGACCAAAAUAGCACAUUUCUAAGUUUAUCCUU